rnacentral:lncRNA from 1 species
ACAGUGACACAGAUGAGCUGUGGCCUUCCUAGGAAGUAAUUAUCAUGUGCCUCUUGUUGUGCAGGUGGCACACAGCACAAGGAGAUGCAGUCUCCCUCAGGAGGGUUAGCCAAGCAAGAUGGGUUAUCAGAAGUAAGCAAGUCUCCCUCUGUGAAGUGUAGGUAGGAAAAAACUGAAACAAGGCAAAGAGAAAAGCAGCCAGUUAUUCUUGCUGCUUCAAAGAGCUCCUUUUAAUGCACAGCACAGCAGAGGAAAAGUGGUACUGAUUACAGCAAAGUCUUUGGUUUCCUGUGGUGCUUAGUAUUCCAUAAUAUGUACUGAUGGCUUUGAAUUGCUGUCCUCCAUUUCAGCCUCAAAGUGUUAAUAGGUUGAAUAUUGUCAGAUUUGGUCAUUUGAACGUUAUUUUUUUUAACGUGCCUGUCUCCUUCUCUUACUCAGAUAACAUUUUUCUUUCAGAUGCUGCAUCAGAAAAAGCACAGAUAAAUGAAACUUGCCAUGGAGUCAAAUCAGCCUCAGCAGGACCUGCACGGAUCAGCUGUGAUCACCAGGGUUGCACAACCUUGCACAGGUCUUCUCUCUUUGUUUUCUUGAAUUUUUCCAAGAGUUCCGGCCUGGCCACGCUGGUUUUGUGCUAAUGGACACCUAGAAAAAUAUACAAGCACUAAGUAAGUAUUAAGCUUUUCUUAUUUCUAUGUCAAACAUAUUUUCAAGUCACGGUUAAGAGUAUCUGAUCCAUUUUGCCCUGCCCUAUAUUUUGAGGAGAAUUCCACACCAAGUAAAACAUUGAUUUAUUUAAAACACAACUAAUGGGGUUUCUUUGUCCUCUCUCGUGUGUUGGAAAAUCCCACCUGAACCCUAAUUAACAAAUUGAUUUAUCAAACAUUUAGCUAAUGAUUUCCCUUUGUCCUGUCCUCCCAGUUGCAGAAUCCCACCUGAUCCCCCUAUCACACUGAUUUGAUCACAUGGGCAAAACACUACCUAUGUCUAGAGGCAUUCCUGUCUCACACAGCCAAGGAGUAUCAGGCAGAAUGAGAGGAGCAGAGCAGGACUUGCAUGCCAGGGCUGAUUCACCAUGGGCUCAAUCUCUUGCAAACAGUUUGUGGCAGGCCUAGCACAGUUUGGAAGAAUGUGUGUACACAUAACAAGAGCUCACAAAUACCACUCAUCAACAAGAUCUGACCUUGGGCUCAUGCUGAUACAGAUAUAUCUGCAGACAACACAAGGCCGUUACAUCUUGGUAUGUAAAUACAGAGGUAUCCUUGGCCCUCUUCCCUGUGGUUUUCUGCAUAAACAAACAGUGGGUCACUCAACUAUAGACAAUGCCUCCAGAGAGAGGAACUG